GCGAUCAUACCAGCACUAAUGCACCGGAUCCCAUCAAAACUCCAAAGUUAAGCGUGCUUGUCCGAGAGUAGUACUAGGAUGUGUGACCCCCUGGUAAGUCCUCGUGUUGCACCCC
rnacentral:rRNA from 1 species